GAGGGUAUAGCUCAGUGGUAGAGCAUUCGACUGCUAAUUGAGAGGUCCCGGUUCAAACCAAGAAGUAUCCUUCU